GUUGCAGAAGGAAAUGCAGGUCAUGGAUGAGACCUGGAAAAGAGCCACAAGCGACAAAAGAGGAAAAUUACGGAUGGAAUCAGUGGGAAACCAGAGGCACAAGCAAGCAGGCGUGCAGAGCCUGAGCAUCAGCUUUGGCUCUGUUUUUCACCAGAGCAGGAGCAGCCGAGCGACCAUGGGCAGCCUGGCAGCUCCAGGUGGUGGCUUGGACCCAGAUAAUCCACCGUCUUCAAAGGGACCAGUUGCUGCUGGGAUCUCCCAGCGUGGUACAGGGAGCGGAUCUGCAGAGAUUAUGAAGGCUUGAAAUGUUCCUCCUGGCUAUGGAGCACCCAGGUCCAGACAGACCUGCUCCAGACAGACAGACUGGGUGGAGCGAAGCCACCGAGCCCACCAAGGAGCAACUCCUCUCCAUCGCCUGCCACCGAGGUGGCUCCCGGGUACCCAGAAGGGGGGCUGAGCCUUAUCUGAUGGCCGUGUUUCCACGGAAGAGGAUCAGAGGACUUUGAAGGCACGGCAGGAGCUCAGCAGAGGUAUGUUGGGGCUCGUCGCUUCUGACAGAUUCCAGGUGGGAUUUGUAGCUGGAUUACGUCACAAUUCAGGGCCUUAAGGGAUUUUUUCAGCACGUUCUCCCAAAGGUAGGAACCCUCCGCACCAGUGCCGGGCCAACAAACACGAGCAGCAGUGGAGGAUAUGUCUAUGCAAAACAAGAUGGAUUUAAAAGAAAGAAAACAAAGGAUGUUUUGCAGAUCCUAAGACAAGACAGUGAGAAAUAAAGUCAAUAUCUGAGCCUCUGAGAACCAAAAAUGCAUCCAAACGCCCUUGUUUUCAGCAGGGCUGCAAAGCCGCGAGCAGACUGAUGAAC